AAUGAACGUUGGCGGCGUGGAUUAGGCAUGCAAGUCGCGCGAGAAGUUUCCUUCGGGAGACGGACAGCGGCGGAAGGGAGAGGAAUAAGUAGAAAUCUGCCCUCGGGACGGGAUAGCGGCGGGAAACUGCCGGUAAUACCCGAUAACAUCUUUGGAUCAAAUGGUGUGAUUCCGCCUGAGGAUGAGUCUACUUCCUAUUAGCUAGUUGGUGUGGUAAUGGCUCACCAAGGCAACGAUGGGUAGCGGGUGUGAGAGCACGAUCCGCCUCACUGGGACUGAGACACUGCCCAGACACCUACGGGUGGCUGCAGUCGAGAAUCUUCGGCAAUGGGGGAAACCCUGACCGAGCGACGCCGCGUGCGGGAUGAAGGCCCUCGGGUUGUAAACCGCUGUCGUAAGGGAACAAAUCUAAGAGGGUACUCCCUUUUAGUUGAGUGAUCUUAGGAGGAAGGACGGGCUAAGUUCGUG
rnacentral:rRNA from 1 species